CUCAGUGUAGUCCAAUAUCCCAUAAAAAACAGUACGAAUUGAAGUUGGCCAUUUGUAUUCAAAGCAUUGGUGAACAAAUAUUAUGGACGUUAUUAGCAUAGAAACUCUUGAUAAGGUUUCUAUGCUCUGAUAUCUAAUCCUGGCAACACUACACUCAACUCCUAACCAUGUGGCAUUACUGUAGGUAUAGGUAACUACCUUCCAAUAAAUAGUGUUGGUACAGACAUUUUUAA